rnacentral:rRNA from 1 species
AGCAGCCGCGGUAAUUCCAGCUCCAAUAGCGUAUAUUAAAGUUGUUGCAGUUAAAAAGCUCGUAGUUGAAUUUCGGGAUCAAUACGUCGGUCGUGCCUUCGGUACGUACUAAUGUCAUUGAUUUCUCCCUUCUGAUGAAUCAUGAUGUCAUUAAUUUGAUGUUGUGGGGAGUCAGGACUGUUACUUUGAAAAAAUUAGAGUGUUUAAAGCAGGCACGCGCUUGAAUACAUUAGCAUGGAAUAAUGAAAUAGGACGUCCGAUUCUAUUUUGUUGGUUUCUAGGAUCAACGUAAUGAUUAAUAGGGAUAGUUGGGGGCAUUAGUAAUCAAUUGUCAGAGGUGAAAUUCUUGGAUUUAUUGAAGACUAACUACUGCGAAAGCAUUUGCCAAGGAUGUUUU